rnacentral:rRNA from 1 species
CAGCAGCCGCGGGAAUACGAAGGGUGCGAGCGUUACUCGGAAUUACUGGGCGUAAAGCGUGCGUAGGUGGUGGUUUAAGUCCGUUGUGAAAGCCCUGGGCUCAACCUGGGAAUUGCAGUGGAUACUGGGUCACUAGAGUGUGGUAGAGGAUAGUGGAAUUUCCGGUGUAGCAGUGAAAUGCGUAGAGAUCGGAAGGAACAUCUGUGGCGAAGGCGACUAUCUGGGCCAACACUGACACUGAGGCACGAAAGCGUGGGGAGCAAACAGGAUUAGAUACCCCCGUAGUCCCUGUCUCUUAUAC